GAGGCAGCCGGGCAGAAGCUAUGUCAGUGAGCAGAGAGCCUGACUAGGCCCAAGGAGGCAACAAGCAGAGCACCCAGAAAGAGAGUGAUUCCAGAGAACUGAGAGACCAUGAAGAUGGGAAAAGACAUUCUGUUCUCAUGGUGGAAUUGUAUCUCAGCCUAGCAUUCCUCACAGAUACAGGAUGGCAGGCAUCACAUGUCCAUGUGAAAAUGUCCAGCAAAAGGAAGAGGACUGAUACUUCCCAGGUCAAGGAACCACAUAUGCAGGCUCCCUUGCCAACUGGCUUCUAAGCAUGAUAAAUCAAUUGGAGGCACUGGUACAGGACUGGAUAGUGGAAAGCAGGGAGGCGCAAGAGAACAUUUCUUUUCGCUGUUUGCUUACUGACUCCAGAAAGGACUUCAGAUGCAGUAUUUCAAUAGGGAACUCUUGAAGACCAGAAACUCCAGAGGCAAAGGAAUGCACUUCCAGUGAGGAAUUUAUGGUAUGAUGGCCUUUGCAUGAGGGUAGUAUUUUGAAGCAGUCAUGCCCCAUAGGUAGUUGUCGGCCUUCCCAAUCAGCAAAACUGACCCUGGUUUUCUUUUUAUAAAAAUAUAAAAGGUAUUUGGAAAGUUACUACAAGAAAACAUCAACAGCCAGAGAGCAAUCAUGCCCAAUGCCUGCUUUCCCACAUGCUUACACACAGCCCUACCCCACUCUUUACCUUCCACUCUUUUGCUUUUAUGCUU